rnacentral:rRNA from 1 species
AUGGAGACGGUGGAGGAGGACGUGGAGGAGUACAGUUGGAGGGAGGUGGUGCUGCCGCGCCUCAUCCCGGUCGUCCCCCACGCCGCGCCGGAGCUCGAGCGCGAGACCGGGGAGCGCCGCCGCGGCAGGGACCUGCUCGUCGCCAUCGACUUCGGCCCCAACUCCAGGCACGCCUUCCGCUGGGCGCUCGCCCACCUCGCGCGCAUCGCCGACACCCUCCACCUCGUCCACGCCGUCUCCAGUGUGCAUAAUGAUCUGGUAUACAACAAAAGUCAGGAACUAAUGGAUGAGUUGGCCGUCGAGGCAUUCAAGGAGUCACUGGUCCACACCAAGGCACGGAUUGUUGAAGGGGAUGCUGGAAAGGUUAUUUGCCGAGAAGCAGAGCGACUGAAGCCAGCAGCCGUCAUUAUUGGCACACGUGGUCGAAGCCUUAUUCAGAGUGUGUUGCAGGGAAGUGUCAGUGAGUAUUGCUUCCACAACUGUAAAGCAGCACCAGUUAUCAUUGUCCCAGGCAAAGAAGCUGGUGAACAGUCUGUGCUUUAA